rnacentral:lncRNA from 1 species
UUUAAUAUGCUUUGAUAUAAAGAAUGGGCAUGAAAUUGGUUGAUGAUAUUAUGGAUUGAUUGAUACAUGUUUGAAGUUGAAUUUGGCUAAAAAUGUUGCAUAUAUGAUGCUUGAUUUUGGAAUUGUAGGGAGGACACAACUGGGUCGCAUAUUGGCCUUGUAAAUGACCUAUUUUUCCCACACAAGCUGCUGUGUUGCUCGAGGG